rnacentral:rRNA from 1 species
GACAGAGGAGGCAAGCGUUGUUCGGAAUCAUUGGGCUUAAAGCGCGCGUAGGCGGCCUUGUAAGUGUCUUGUGAAAUCCCACGGCUCACCCGUGGAACUGCAGGGCAAACUGCAAGACUUGGGGUCGGUAGAGGCGCCUGGAACUCUAGGUGGAGCGGUGAAAUGCGUAGAUAUCUAGGGGAACGCCGGAGGCGAAAGCGGGGCGCGGGGCCGAUUCUGACGAUGAUGCGCGAAAGCGUGGGGAGCAAACAGG